rfam:Triticum urartu cultivar G1812 contig327854, whole genome shotgun sequence.
UAUAUACUCCCUUCGUUCGGAAUUACUUGUCUUGGAAAUGAAUGUAUUUAGAACUAAAAUACAUCUAGAUACAUUCAUUUUUUCGACACGUAAUUCCGAAUGGAAGGAGUAUGCA